CCUGCCCCUAGAAGCAUUGCAGAUGUGGCUGCUGUGUCACAUGUGUGUCAAUAGGUGGCAGAGAGGAGAGAUAAUCUGUCUACACUUAGUAUUCCUACCUAUGACUAUCUGAAUGAUUUGUAGCCUAGAAUU